rnacentral:rRNA from 1 species
UAUAUGCCCUUUAAGACAUAAGUCUGCAAGGGGAAAAUGCUUUUGUUGCUCGAGGAUGGGACUGUACGGUAUCAGAUAGUUGGUGGGGGUAAUGGCCUACCAAGUCAAAUGACGCCUAACUGGUUUGAGAGGGAUGAUCAGUCACACUGGAACUGAGACACGGUCCAGACUCCUACGGGAGGCAGCAGUGGGGAAUAUUGCACAAUGGAGGAAACUCUGAUGCAGCAACGCCGCGUGGAGGAUGACACAUUUCGGUGCGUAAACUCCUUUUAUAUAGGAAGAUAAUGACGGUACUAUAUGAAUAAGCGCCGGCUAACUCCGUGCCAGCAGCCGCGGUAAUACGGAGGGCGCAAGCGUUACUCGGAAUCACUGGGCGUAAAGAGCGUGUAGGCGGAUAGAUAAGUCAGAAGUGAAAUCCUAUGGCUCAACCAUAGAACUGCUUUUGAAACUGUUUAUCUAGAGUGUGGGAGAGGUAGAUGGAAUUUCUGGUGUAGGGGUAAAAUCCGUAGAGAUCAGAAGGAAUACCGAUUGCGAAGGCGAUCUACUGGAACAUAACUGACGCUGAGACGCGAAAGCGU